UACGAAGGGGGCUAGCGUUGUUCGGAAUCACUGGGCGUAAAGCGCACGUAGGCGGAUUUUAAGUCAGGGGUGAAAUCCCGAGGCUCAACCUCGGAACUGCCUUUGAUACUGGGGAUCUGGAGUCCGGGAGAGGUGAGCGGAACUGCGAGUGUAGAGGUGAAAUUCGUAGAUAUUCGCAAGAACACCAGUGGCGAAGGCGGCUCACUGGCCCGGAACUGACGCUGAGGUGCGAAAGCGUGGGGAGCAAACA
rnacentral:rRNA from 1 species